GACGAACGCUGGCGGCGUGCUUAACACAUGCAAGUCGAACGGAAAGGCCCCCACCUUGGUGGGGGUGCUCGAGUGGCGAACGGGUGAGUAACACGUGGGUGAUCUGCCCUGUACUUCGGGUUAAGCUUGGGAAACUGGGUCUAAUACCGGAUAGGACCAUGGUUUAGUGUCUCAUGGUGGAAAAAUUAUUGUUUUGGUGCAGGAUGAGCUCGCGGCCUAUCAGCUUGUUGGUGGGGUAAUGGCCUACCAAGGCGUCGACGGGUAGCCGGCCUGAGAGGGUGGACGGCCACAUUGGGACUGAGAUACGGCCCAGACUCCUACGGGAGGCAGCAGUGGGGAAUAUUGCACAAUGGGCGCAAGCCUGAUGCAGCGACGCCGCGUGGGGGAUGACGGCCUUCGGGUUGUAAACUCCUUUCGUUAGGGACGAAGCCACACCUUUUUUGGGUGUGG
rnacentral:rRNA from 1 species